rnacentral:rRNA from 1 species
UACGUAGGGACCGAGCGUUGUCCGGAAUCAUUGGGCGUAAAGAGCUCGUAGGCGGUUUGUUGCGUCGGCUGUGAAAUCCCGAGGCUCAACCUCGGGUCUGCAGUCGAUACGAGCAAACUAGAGUGUUGCAGGGGAGACUGGAAUUCCUGGUGUAGCGGUGAAAUGCGCAGAUAUCAGGAGGAACACCGGUGGCGAAGGCGGGUCUCUGGGCAACAACUGACGCUGAGGAGCGAAAGCGUGGGGAGCGAACCGG